ensembl:lncRNA
AAAUUAUAUUAUAUAAACACUGUUAUAUAUAUAGAACUACAAUAUAAACACUAUGGUAUCCCAACUAAAUUAUAUACACACUAUAUCAACUAAAUAUGUACAUACUAUUCACUUGUAUGCAAGAUAGAAAGUCACUGGGGGAAGGAUUUGGGCACAUUGUGUUCCUUUGUGAUCAGAUGUUGGACAGCGACGCCCAUGUUUGGUUCGACCACUUCCAACGUCAAUUCAACUUUAUCCAUACAGCCCUUAUUGAGUCUUGGAUUUGAAUGUAAAAUUGAUAUCAAAAUGAUCAAAUAUGCAGGCGGGCAUUAUGUGAGGAGUAAGGAUGUCUUGUGAGGAGUGAGGAUGUGUUCUGAGGAGUGAGGAUGUGUUCUGAGGAGUGAGGAUGUGUUCUGAGGAGUGCGGUGGUGGAGGUGUGAUACUGAGACAGUGUGGAUGUGAGGGAUGAGGAGGUGAUGUGAGAUGUGGAGAGGCUGUCGGGGUGGUGAGGGAGGGAGGAGGUGGUUGUUGGGGGUGAGUUGUUGCUGGGGGGAGUUGAGGAGGAGGAGGUGGUGGUCGAGAAAGUGUGAGGGUAUGGCGUGAGAGGAAAGGAGGUGGUAGAUGUGAGCAGUGAUGUGGUGGUGGAUGUGAGCAGUGAGGAGGUGGUAGAUGUGAGCAGUGAGGAGGUGGAUGUGAGCAGUGAUGAGGUGGUAGAUGUGAGCAGUGAGGAGGUGGUAGAUGUGAGCAGUGAGGUGGUGGUAGAUGUGAGCAGUGAGGUGGUGGUAGAUGUGAGCAGUGAGGAGGUCGUGGAUGUGAGCAGUGAGGAGGUGGUGGAUGUGAGCAGUGAGGUGGUGGUAGGUGUGAGCAGUGAGGUGGUGGUUGUGAGCAGUGAGGUGGUGGUAGAUGUGAGCAGUGAGGAUGUGGUGGAUGUGAGCAGUGAGGUGGUGGUUGUGAGCAGUGAGGUGGUGGUAGAUGUGAGCAGUGAGGAUGUGGUGGAUGUGAGCAGUGAGGAGGUAGAUGUGAACAGUGAGGUGGUAGAUGUGAGCAGUGAGGAGGUAGAUGUGAACAGUGAUGUGUUGGUAGAUGUGAGCAGUGAGGAGGUGGUAGAUGUGAACAGUGAGGUGGUGGCAAAUGUGAGCAGUGAGGAGGUGGUAGAUGUGAGCAGUGAGGUGGUGGAUGUGAGCAGUGAGGCGGUGAGGGGUAAUGACGUGCGGGUUAAAGUGGUAGUGAUGUGAGGGGGAAGGAGGGGAUGUGAAGGGCGAAACGGGGAGGAUAUGAGGGGUGAAGUUAUGGAGAUUUGAAGGGUGAGGUGGUAAUGGGAAAACUAAAGAGAGGGCAUGUGAGGGGUGAGGUAGUGAUACGAUGGGUAAGGUGGAGAUGUUAGGGGUGAGGAGGGGAUGUGAGGGGUGAGGAGGUGGUGAUGUGAGCGGUGAGGAGGUGGUGAUGUAAGCGGUGAGGAGGUGGUGAUGUGAGCGUUGAGGAGGUGGUGAUGUGAGCGUUGAGGAGGUGGUGAUGUGAGCGGUGAGGAGGUGGUGAUGUGAGCGUUGAGGAGGUGAUGUGAGUAGUGAGGAGGUGGUGAUGUGAGCGUUGAGGAGGUGGUGAUGUGAGCGGUGAGGAGGUGGUGAUGUGAGCGGUGAGGUGGUGGUGAUGUGAGGUGGUGGUGAUGUGAGCGGUGAGGAGGUGGUGAUGUGAGCGGUGAGGAUGUGGUGAUUUGAG